rnacentral:rRNA from 1 species
CACGUAGGGUGCGAGCGUUGUCCGGAAUUAUUGGGCGUAAAGAGCUCGUAGGCGGUGUGUCGCGUCGGCCGUGAAAACCUGCAGCUUAACUGUGGGCUUGCGGUCGAUACGGGCAUCACUGGAGUUCGGCAGGGGAGACUGGAAUUCCUGGUGUAGCGGUGAAAUGCGCAGAUAUCAGGAGGAACACCAACAGCGAAGGCAGCACUCUGGGCCGGUACUGACGCUGAGGAGCGAAAGCCAGGGGAGCAAACGGG